rnacentral:lncRNA from 1 species
UAGUCACAUCCUGCCCUCCGAGGAGGAGGCGGCUUCUGGAAGGGCGGCCUCGGGGCCGGGGCCAGAGCAGGGAUCCAGGCUCCACUGCCAUCCCGCCUGCGAGAGCCUCGCACAAAGCUCCCUCUGUGCUCCCCACCCGCCUCCCGCCUCCUGCUGCGUCCUACAAACAGCAGUGGAAGUUUGGACCAGGGUCUGCCGCUUAAAAACUGAAAGAAACAGAGUAAAAGAAAGGCAGCUGAAAAAAAAACAACAGAAACUCAAAGCCAAAUUCUUGUCGUAGGCCGGUCAUUUACGUUUCUUCGGGCACAGCUGGAACUUCCCAUAAUUUACAGAAGCACGUGAGAUUCGGGGUUAGGGCCCACACGCCAAGGCAGCUCGACCAGGCGCCUGAGGAGGUGAGAGCCACGGGCCUCAGGGACUCGCCCCUGAGGGUCCAGCGAUCGCAUUCAUUCCUUCGCAUCUCAGCAGGUCCUAGGUGAGAGCCGAGGGCCUCGCUCUGUGCCAUGUGCCAGAGACACAGCAGUGAGCACGGCGUCCUGCCUCUGGGAGGCUCCAAUGAUCAGCAUCGCUCAGACAGCAUGGAAGCCAGGGCCGCACCGCAGGGUCUCAUCUGUGCCUGGAGUUAAGGGCAGCGUUGAAGCGGCUCCUGACUGGGUGAUGGGGGAGGAGGAAGGUGCAGGUGGCAGGAGGUGCAGGUGGCAGAUGCCUGGGCUGGAGGGGGCCGGGGCAGGGCUCCUGCCCAGGUAGCAGGUGACGGGAGGGAAGCAGAGCACCAGCCCUCAUUCCAACCCUCAGCAAGUACCUCAUUCACGCUGGAGGCUUUAAGCCCUGAGCCAGACAGGCCUCCAGGGCCAAACCUUUCAUUCACAUUCUAGGUUCCCUUUAACGUAGAAUCUUUAGAUUCCAACAAAAGCAGCACAUGUAUAAAAAGUACACCAGGAGUUCCCAUCAUGGCUCAGUGGUAACUAACCUGACUAGUAUCCAUGAGGAUGCAGGUUCGAUCCCUGGCCUCGCCUGGUGGGUUAAGGAUCCGGUGUUGCAAGGAGCUGUGGUGUAGGUCAAAGAUGCAGCUCAGAUCUGGCAUUGCUGUGGCUGUGGUGUGAGCCAGCAGCAAGAGCUCCAAUUAGACCCCUAGCCUGGGAACCUCCAUAUCCCACAGGUGUGGCCCUAAAAAGCAAGAAAAAAAAAAAGAAAAAAAAAGUACACCAGGAAGGCAGUGAUACCACAUCUUUCUAAUUUUCGUCACAUGCAGGCAAGCUCCUGGACGUGCUCUGCAGUGGAUGCAGGAAACGGCUCCUUCAGUAACAGGUGGCAUUUUAUUCUCCAUCUGCCUGCUUUUUGGCUUUCUUCUGUUACCAGUGUUUUUGCUUUAUUUUUGUUUUAUGUCAGAAAGAAGCCGUUCGGCAAACGCGUAACUUAGCGUCGGCGUCUUUCUUGAGUAACAGUCUUUACAUGUUCUAUCCUGUGAGAUUCCAGACCCUUGAAAUCAUUUAAUAAGUAGAAUGUUUUUCUUCCUGCAAAUAUAUCCUCUUAAAUGUUUAUUCUAGCAUAAAAGCUUUCCUAUGGCAUCAAAUAAACACCAUAGAAUAAUUUCAAUUGAGAAUAGAAAUGCUGUGCUUAUUCUCGUCCGGCCGGUGACUAUAUUUAUGCGUUUAAUAAAUACUUCUGAAGUGGUUCCUAUAUCGUGAGCCAGACACUCUGAUAACUUGGCUAAAUAACUUUGUUUUACUGCCUUUAAUUUACAAACGUGAUUAGAUUUUUCUUCCUUGAAAUUAUAUAUGCAAGCCUGUAUUAACUCUAUAUGCAUAUACAUAAUUAUAGAUAAUUACCUUCGGUUACUAAAAAGUAAUUAAUUAUUAAACUGCAUAGGCCUUUCGAUGAGUCUAGAUAAGAGAUGCGGGAGCUUUAAGAAGAACAUGUUGUCUGUUUGGUGUACUGUAUAAUAACUUAUGAAAAUUUUACGUGUCUCCCCUAAAUUAUAUCCACAAUGUAAAAAAAAAAA